rnacentral:rRNA from 1 species
GACGAACGCUGGCGGCGUGCUUAACACAUGCAAGUCGAGCGGUAAGGCCCUUUCGGGGGUACACGAGCGGCGAACGGGUGAGUAACACGUGGGUGACCUGCCCUCAGCUCUGGGAUAAGCCUGGGAAACUGGGUCUAAUACUGGAUAUGACUCCACGGUGCAUGUCGUGGGGUGGAAAGCCUUGUGCGGCUGAGGAUGGGCCCGCGGCCUAUCAGCUUGUUGGUGGGGGAUGGCCUACCAAGGCGACGACGGGUAGCCGGCCUGAGAGGGCGACCGGCCACACUGGGACUGAGACACGGCCCAGACUCCUACGGGAGGCAGCAGUGGGGAAUCUUGCGCAAUGGGCGAAAGCCUGACGCAGCGACGCCGCGUGAGGGAUGACGGCCUGU